GACGAAGGUGGCGAGCGUUGUUCGGAAUCACUGGGCAUAAAGCGCACGUAGGCGGUGUCAUAAGUCGGGUGUGAAAUCCCUCGGCCUAACCGAGGAACUGCGCCCGAUACUGUGAUGCUUGAGGACCAGAGGGGUGCAUGGAAUUUCCGGUGGAGCGGUGAAAUGCGUAGAGAUCGGAAAGAACACCAACGGCGAAAGCACUCUGCUGGGCCGACACUGACACUGAGAGACGAAAGCUAGGGGAGCGAAUGGG
rnacentral:rRNA from 1 species